ACUGCAGGAAGCUGCAAGCAUUUUAGAUGACCUUGCAAAGAAAAACUAAAUCAGGUGUCAUGUUCCAAUUCAAAGCCACGAAGCAGUGUGACCCGGGGAGUGGAAAAUGGGACAGAAGAUGGCAAAGAAGAGUCAGUUGAGGAAUAAUGAGAAAAUGUGAAAACUGUAAGCUCAAGUUCAUCCCUGAGCAGAGGAGAAGAGCAAACAGCCUGUGACCCGCACCAGCCUAGGACUGAGGGCAUGGGUGACACUGAAACCAUCUACAAGCAACAAACUCUGGAAUGGGACUGACAGUGGUCCUUGCACUGCCUUCUAGUGGAAUGAAGCUGGAUACGGGGCCAUGGUGCCCGACUGAAGGGUGACCUAAUGACUGCAGCCCUUUGCCUGAGCAAUAUGCUUGUGGCCCCAGCUCCCUGAAGGACAGGGAUUUACAGGGAAGGUGGAACACAUACAAACAAGAAGUUAAACCACUUUCCCUCUGUACAGUACCAUUCUUUCUUGUAGGUGGGUCUGAUGGAGACUGUACAAGAACUGCAGAAAUAUG
rnacentral:lncRNA from 1 species